UACGUAGGGCGCAAGCGUUGUCCGGAAUUAUUGGGCGUAAAGAGCUCGUAGGCGGCCUGUCGCGUCCGCUGUGAAAUCCCGGGGCUUAACCCCGGGCGUGCAGUGGAUACGGGCUGGCUAGAGGCAGGCAGGGGAGAACGGAAUUCCCGGUGUAGCGGUGAAAUGCGCAGAUAUCGGGAGGAACACCGGUGGCGAAGGCGGUUCUCUGGGCCUGUUCUGACGCUGAGGAGCGAAAGCGUGGGGAGCGAACAGG
rnacentral:rRNA from 1 species